ACAUGCAAGUCGUGCGAGAAAGUAUCUUCGGAUAUGAGUAGAGCGGCGGACGGGUGAGUAACGCGUAGGAAUCUACCUAGUAGAAGGGGAUAGCCCGGGGAAACUCGGAUUAAUACCGUAUACCUCCUUUGGGAGAAAGAAGGCCUCUCUUUGAAGCUUUCGCUAUUAGAUGAGCCUGCGUAAGAUUAGCUUGUUGGUGAGGUAAAGGCUCACCAAGGCGACGAUCUUUAGCGGGUCUGAGAGGACGAUCCGCCACAUUGGGACUGAGACACGGCCCAGACUCCUACGGGAGGCAGCAGUGGGGAAUAUUGGACAAUGGGCGCAAGCCUGAUCCAGCCAUACCGCGUGUGUGAAGAAGGCCCUAGGGUUGUAAAGCACUUUAAGUUGGGAAGAAAAGUUAUUGGUUAAUACCCAAUGACCGUGACAUUACCUUCAGAAUAAGGACCGGCUAAUUCCGUGCCAGCAGCCGCGGUAAUACGGAAGGUCCAAGCGUUAAUCGGAAUUACUGGGCGUAAAGCGCGCGUAGGUGGUUUAUUAAGUUGGAUGUGAAAUCCCCGGGCUCAACCUGGGAACUGCAUCCAAAACUGAUUCACUAGAGUACGAUAGAGGGAGGUAGAAUUCACAGUGUAGCGGUGGAAUGCGUAGAUAUUGUGAAGAAUACCAAUGGCGAAGGCAGCCUCCUGGAUCUGUACUGACACUGAGGUGCGAAAGCGUGGGUAGCGAACAGGAUUAGAUACCCUGGUAGUCCACGCCGUAAACGAUGUCAACUAGCUGUUGGAAAACUAUGUUUUUCAGUGGCGCAGCUAACGUAGUAAGUUGACCGCCUGGGGAGUAC
rnacentral:rRNA from 1 species